UCUUUAUUGGAGAGUUUGAUCCUGGCUCAGGACGAACGCUGGCGGCGUGCCUAAUACAUGCAAGUCGA
rnacentral:rRNA from 1 species